GAUGAACGCUGGCGGCGUGCCUAAUACAUGCAAGUCGAGCGAACAGACGAGGAGCUUGCUCCUCUGACGUUAGCGGCUGACGGGUGAGUAACACGUGGAUAACCUACCUCUAAGACUUGGAUAACUUCGUGAAACCGGUGCUACUACCGGAUAAUAUAUUGAACCGCAUGGUUCAAUAGUUAAAGACGGUUUUGCUGUCACUUAUAGAUGGUUCCGCGUCGCAUUAUCUAGUUGGUAAGGUAACGGCUUACCAAGGCGACGAUGCGUAGCGGACCUGAGAGGAGGAUAGGACACACUGGAACUGAGAAAGGGUCCAGACACAUACGGGAGGAAGCAGUGGGGAAUAUUGGACAAUGGGCGCAAGACUGACAAAGCAAUAAAGAGAGGAUGAAGAAGGCAUUAGGGUUGUAAAGCCCUUUUGUUGGGAAAGAAAAGAAGAAGGUUCAUACCCCGCUGUUAUGACGGUACCCAAAGAAUAAGAAACGGCUAACUUCGUG
rnacentral:rRNA from 1 species